rnacentral:rRNA from 1 species
UGGGGAAUCUUCCGCAAUGGGCGAAAGCCUGACGGAGCAAUGCCGCGUGAGUGAAGAAGGCCUUCGGGUUGUAAAACUCUGUCCUUAUCGAAGAGAGGUAGGUAUGUGAAUAAUGUACCUAUAGGACGGUAGAUAAGGAGGAAGCCCCGGCUAACUACGUGCCAGCAGCCGCGGUAAUACGUAGGGGGCGAGCGUUGUCCGGAAUCACUGGGCGUAAAGGGCGCGUAGGCGGUUUAAUAAGUCAGUGGUGAAAACUGAGGGCUCAACUCUCAGCCUGCCACUGAUACUGUUAGACUUGAGUAU